AAUCAACGCUGGCGGCGUGCCUAACACAUGCAAGUCGAACGCGAAAGGGGCUUCGGCCCUGAGUAGAGUGGCAGACGGGUGAGUAACGCGUGGAUGACCUGCCCUUGAGCGGGGGAUAACGUCUCGAAAGGGACGCUAAUACCGCAUGAUGUCCUGCCUUUGAAGAGGUGGUGACCAAAGCCGGGGACCGCAAGGCCUGGCACUCGAGGAGGGGUCCGCGUCCGAUUAGCUAGUUGGUGAGGUAAUGGCUCACCAAGGCUCCGAUCGGUAGCCGGCCUGAGAGGGCGGACGGCCACACUGGGACUGGGACACGGCCCAGACUCCUACGGGAGGCAGCAGUGGGGAAUAUUGGACAAUGGGCGGAAGCCUGAUCCAGCCAUGCCGCGUGUGUGAAGAAGGCCUUUUGGUUGUAAAGCACUUUAAGCGAGGAGGAGGCUACUAGUAUUAAUACUACUGGAUAGUGGACGUUACUCGCAGAAUAAGCACCGGCUAACUCUGUGCCAGCCGCCGCCGUAAGAC
rnacentral:rRNA from 1 species